AACAGUUUUGGGUGACUAACGUAGUUCGUCGACCGCGAAAUAUUAAAGUCACCAACUGACAUCUAACCUUAAAUACUUGUCCAAUUGGAGCUAACAUUGGACUAAAUCUGGAACUUUGUGCAACAAAAAUGAAUUAACAUAACAGGGGGGAUUCAGUGGACAAAGAACUUUAUUGUCAACACAUUCAUUUUUGUCGAUUAUAAAAGUAAAUUCACCUUUGAAAGUGGAACACAAAUUCUAAAAUCCACAAACAUUUGCAGUUACAUACUGUUUUUAUCAGAGCACAUUGAGUUUCUCAUGAUAAAACCAAUGAGCAUAUACUACAGGCAAAGGUAAAAGAAAGCGUUAGUGGAAAUGCAAUUUAUGGUAUUCUGUCCUUGGUGGAUAAAUUUUUCAACAUUGAAUUGACUGAUAGCAGUGCCACGGAUUCUGAUAAACAAUCACGAAGGGUUCAAUCAUCUGUGAAGAGCUGUUUCUAUCCAUGGUUCUGUAGUCCAAUACGUCCAGCUCCCUAACAACGAGGUUUUUACCCAGCUCCACCAGGAGACUUAACGCAAAGAGGCAGUAGUGCAGACUCGAUUGGAAUCCCUGGUAUUCCACUACCUCUAAUUUAUACUCCAAAAAACAACUGAACAAAAUGAUGAAUCAAUAAAUAGAACAUUCACUGGAUAAAUCCGGAUACAAAUAGACGUAAAAUAAUUGACAAAUGUGAGGAGUGUUCAAUUUUCUUCAUUCAUUUGGAAUAAUUCAUGUGAAGUAGGUAUAUUUGUAGUUCUUUGCUCAUGAAAAAAAAUGUUUUAGUACGUCGUUCGCUAUUUAGAUCCUUUUUUCCAUUUUAAAGAUAAUUGUUCUGUAGAAAAGAGAGCAUUAAGAAAUACCUUUUGUUCAAUCCAGGAUUAUUUCAUGAAGGAGUGGAUUUACGAGUAAAUGCCUCGAUACUUUUUUGUUAGAGAAACAAGUUUUCUACACAACAUGUCUUGUGACAUUUCCUCUUAUACCAAACCCUCAUCGUGAUAAUCCGUGAACCACAAUUCUUCAUUGUUUUUCGUAAAUUUUGAAAUGAUGUCCAUAAUAACUGGUUGCACGAUAAAAAAUGUUGAACAUUCUUGUGUAACUAAAAGAAUUACCUCCCAAAAAAGACUUAUAACGUCUUGGAGUGAAGCAACUGAUUAUUGAGAAGAUUGAACAUUUAACUCUUCAGAAUCAUUGGCUAAAUAUCAUUAAAAUAAAAAGUGAUGAAAUAUGUCAAUAGAUAUUAAUAAAAAAAAACGAAUCGUGGUGAUUCAUUCUCCAUUAUCCUCCGGGUAAAUCAAAUAUCAGUGAUUGCUUAUUCUCCUUUUGAAAUUAUGUUAUUCUCAAUUCAAUUUCUCUCCUUACAUGAAUUAUUUAACUACAGUUUGUCGUCUAUUUUUUCGUUAAAAUUUCUGUGAAUUAUUUUCGGUUAUGGUGCUCUUUUUGCUCAGAAUUGAGACGAGUAUUACGUGCACGUUUCUUCGAAACGACUUUUCUUGUUGUGUAUGUUGCUUUGUUCGCUAAUUGGAAUAUAAUUAAAACAAUUAAAGCCUCACAGGCAAGGGGUGUUGAGGGGCUACAGACUGUUUCUACCCUCAAGAAACAUCGAAAUAAAAGAACGAAAAAAAUAGCUUUAAAGAAACAUGGAUACAAUAUUUGUGGCAAUUCAGCGUAGAGAAAAGGACCAUUAGCAAGUUCCUUCUUCGGCACGUAGUAAUUAUUUAUAAUAUUAUUAGCAAUAAAUUAAUUUGUUCUUUUUAUUUAUUAAUUCUCAUUCAAGCGUCAAAACUUCUAUGGAGUUUCAAUAGUUCAUACAGCUUAAUUACAUGAUUAGAUAAUUGUUAGGGGUCGGCCGGUGAAUGUCAGAAAUUCAACUCUUUUAUUCGAUACACC